AGUAAAUAGAUACCCUGGUAGUCCACGCCGUAAACGAUGUCGACUUGGAGGUUGUGCCCUUGAGGCGUGGCUUCCGGAGCUAAACGCGUUAAGUCGACCGCCUGGGGAGUACGGCCGCAAGGUUAAAACUCAAAUGAAUUGACGGGGGCCCGCACAAGCGGUGGAGCAUGUGGUUUAAUUCGAUGCAACGCGAAGAACCUUACCUACUCUUGACAUCCAGAGAACUUAGCAGAGAUGCUUUGGUGCCUUCGGGAACUCUGAGACAGGUGCUGCAUGGCUGUCGUCAGCUCGUGUUGUGAAAUGUUGGGUUAAGUCCCGCAACGAGCGCAACCCUUAUCCUUUGUUGCCAGCGGUUAGGCCGGGAACUCAAAGGAGACUGCCAGUGAUAAACUGGAGGAAGGUGGGGAUGACGUCAAGUCAUCAUGGCCCUUACGAGUAGGGCUACACACGUGCUACAAUGGCGCAUACAAAGAGAAGCGACCUCGCGAGAGCAAGCGGACCUCAUAAAGUGCGUCGUAGUCCGGAUUGGAGU
rnacentral:rRNA from 1 species